rnacentral:lncRNA from 1 species
AAUGAGAGACUACAUUAUCAGAAGAUAUACCUCAGAUCCUGAGUUUCAAACCAGACAGAAACAAUAUAUGGUCCAAAGGUACAACAUGGAUGCCAGCUUUCAAACCAGACAGAAACAAUAUGUGGUUCAGAGGUACAACAUGGAUGCCAGCUUUCAAACCAGACAGAAACAAUAUAUGGACCAGAAAUACAAAGAGGAUCAUGUCAGAGAAAGGAAGAGGGCAUACAUAAGAACAAAAUAUGCAUCUGAUCCAAACUACAGGCACAAACAAAAAAAAUCAAUUCAUGCCAGGUAUCACAAUGACUCACAAUUCAGACUGCACCAUAUACAGCGCUGUGCCCAGUACCAGAGACACAAAAUGGCUACCACUGCAUCUUUCGCCAUUUAUAACAAGUUGUGUGCACAGAGAAUAAAGAAGAAAUACAGACGACUAGUAACACAAUUCCAGCAAGGUCGACAGUCUGAAGCACAGCCCCAGCUUGUAGUGAACAGUGUGAUGCAAGCAGCCACAUUAGCUUUCCGUGAAACAAUUCAGUUAGGACCCACCCAUGUCUGUACAGUGUGCCACAGAACUCUGUUUCCUAAUCAAGUUAAACACUGCAAAAGAUCAAAGUAUGUUACUAAUAGUAACAUUGUUGCCACUUGCUUGACAGGAAAAUUUGUCCAUGUUUGUGACAGGGAAUGCUCAGCUAAUUGUACUUUCCCAAAACAAAGAAUGGAAGAGUGGAUUUGCCACAACUGUGACAGCCACCUACAACGAGGAAAGAUGUCGUCCAUCGCAGUGGCAAACAAUUUAGCACUAGCACCCAUUCCAAUUGAACUGAGUCAAUUAAAUGUACUAGAAUGACAACUGAUUGCUAAAAUUCUCCCGUUUGCCAAAAUCAUUGCAUUACCAAAAGGACAGCAAAGAGCCGUACAUGGGGCUGUUGUUUGUGUACCGUCGGAUGUGGAAACCACAGUAAACUGUCUUCCCAGACCUAGCAAUGAAGCCCAACUCCUGCAGGUACAACUGAAAAGACACAUCAGAUUUAAAGGAUACCAACACUUCUACACUGUGAACAUGAAGAAUGUGCUAGCAGGCUUAUC